rnacentral:rRNA from 1 species
UUGAACGCACAUUGCGCCCAUUAGUAUUCUAGUGGGCAUGCCUGUUCGAGCGUCAUUUCAACCCUUAAGCCCCUGUUGCUUAGCGUUGGGAGCCUACAGCCUGCUGUAGCUCCUUAAAGGUAGUGGCGGAGUCGGUUCACACUCUAGACGUAGUAAAAUCUUUAUCUCGCCUAUGGAUGAGCCGGCGCCUUGCCGUAAAACCCCUAAUCUUUCACAAGGUUGACCUCGGAUCAGGUAGGAAUACCCGCUGAACUUAAGCAUAUCAAUAAGCGGAGGAAAAGAAACCAACAGGGAUUGCCCUAGUAACGGCGAGUGAAGCGGCAACAGCUCAAAUUUGAAAUCUGGCCUUCGGGUCCGAGUUGUAAUUUGCAGAGGAUGCUUUGGGCGCGGUGCCUUCCGAGUUCCCUGGAACGGGACGCCUUAGAGGGUGAGAGCCCCGUACGGUUGGACACCAAGCCUCUGUAAAGCUCCUUCGACGAGUCGAGUAGUUUGGGAAUGCUGCUCUAAAUGGGAGGUAAAUUUCUUCUAAAGCUAAAUAUUGGCCAGAGACCGAUAGCGCACAAGUAGAGUGAUCGAAAGAUGAAAAGCACUUUGAAAAGAGGGUUAAAUAGCACGUGAAAUUGUUGAAAGGGAAGCGUUUGCGACCAGACCUUUUCCCAGCGGAUCAUCCGGUGUUCUCACCGGUGCACUUCGCUGGGUUGAGGCCAGCAUCGGUUUCCGCAGGGGGAUAAAAGCCUGGGGAACGUAGCUCCCUCGGGAGUGUUAUAGCCCCUCGCAUAAUACCCUUGCGGGGACCGAGGACCGCGCU